rnacentral:rRNA from 1 species
UUAGGAAUCUUCCACAAUGGGCGAAAGCCUGAUGGAGCGACACCGCGUGAAGGAUGAAGCCCUUUCUGGGUGUAAACUUCUGUUCUGAGGGACGAAAUUUUUGACGGUACCUCAGGAGAAAGCACCGGCUAAUUCUGUGCCAGCAGCCGCGGUAAUACAGAAGGUGCAAGCGUUACUCGGAAUUACUGGGCGUAAAGCGUCUGUAGGUGUCUUUCCACGUCUGGCAUUAAAUCACGGGGCUCAACUCCGUAACUAUGUUGGAAACGAGAAAGAUCGAGUCACUCAGAGGCAUCUGGAAUGUCGUGUGUAGGGGUAAAAUCCGUAGAUACACGAUGGAACGCCAAAAGCGAAGGCAGGAUGCUAGGGGUGUACUGACACUCAGAGACGAAAGCGUGGGGAGCAAAGGGG